CAGCCGCCGCGGGAAUACAGAGGGUGCAAGCGUUAAUCGGAAUUACUGGGCGUAAAGCGCGCGUAGGUGGUUUGUUAAGUUGGAUGUGAAAUCCCCGGGCUCAACCUGGGAACUGCAUCCAAAACUGGCAAGCUAGAGUAUGGUAGAGGGUGGUGGAAUUUCCUGUGUAGCGGUGAAAUGCGUAGAUAUAGGAAGGAACACCAGUGGCGAAGGCGACCACCUGGACUGAUACUGACACUGAGGUGCGAAAGCGUGGGGAGCAAACAGGAUUAGAUACCCGUGUAGUCCCUGUCUCUUAUAU
rnacentral:rRNA from 1 species